CAUCGCUCGUCUCAAAGAUUAAGCCAUGCAUGUGUAAGUGUAAAUGUAAUAGUUUGGAACUGCGAAUGGCUCAUUAUAUCAGUUAUAGUUUAUUUGGUGAAGUGUACUACUUGGAUAACCGUAGUAAUUCUAGGGCUAAUACAUGAGAAAGUCCUCUGGUGAGGUGUGUUUAUUAGAAUGAAAACCAUAUGCUUCGGCAGUAUAGUGAGUAAUAGUAACCUAUCGUAUCGCAUGCUUAAUGUAGCGAUGAGUCUUUCAAGUUUCUGCCCUAUCAGCUUUCGAUGGUAGUAUAUGGGCCUACCAUG
rnacentral:rRNA from 1 species